rnacentral:lncRNA from 1 species
UUGACAAUUCAUACAAGGUGAAAGCUAUACUUGACUCUAAAUUUUAAUGUUUUCCUUUAGUAAGACUAUUGCUCCCUCCAUAGAGACUAAUGAUGCUUUUCAACUUUGACUGCGAAUAGAGAAAUAAUCAUAGAGACUAAUAGCAUAAAGAUAAUAUUAGUACAUUUAUCAUGAAACUAACUAUUAUAAUAUGUAACUUUUUUAGUUGAAAUAAAUUAUUUUUAGAGGUAUCGUUGGUCAAAGUUAAAAAGAUUUAACUUUUGAAAAAGCUAAACAUAGCUAUAUUUUGGGACAGAGGGGGUACUUGGCUUGUAUGAUUACAGAUUUAGACGCCUUCCUAUAUUUCAAGAGAUUGAUACAAACUACAACACCAAAGUUUCAGUUCAGCUACAAUGACUAUUUCAAGAUGAUGGCUACUAUACACCAUAAAAUGUAAACCAAGUCAUUGACCCAGUAAAUCGAUGACCAAUUACAUGAAGUUGUGCCAAGAAGCUACAACAAGAGAUGAAUUCUCUCCUUGCUUUAAGUUACACUACAUGAAUGAGAAUGGUUUACUCCCCC